CUUUUCCCCUUAUCGCUUAUUCUGUUCUUCGGCACGCACGCACGCACGCACACGGCGGCCUGUGCGCACAGGCCGCCGUGCUGUGGUCCUCUCUGAUACCUCGCGCGUCGCACGCCAUCCCCUCUUCUCGACGUCUGCGCGUGUGCUCGUCUGUGCUUUUGCUUUCGCUUCCAUUCUCACGGCGGGGCUGAUGUGCUGGCGUUCGUGUGGUACCGCGAGUGGCACCGCGAAUGACUCCCGCUCUCCAUACUCCCUUCGCGUCUGUACUUGUGAAAGGUGUGGCACGAGAGUCGGGCAUUGACGAAGGCAGGCGGUAUUCUCUUCGGCUCUUUCACCAUUCAGCGCCGCCCUCAUGACGUGGGCACAAACACCUCCGCGCGUGGCAUCCCCGGGUCCGGUGUGUCCAGCUCGGUCUGGGUGGACGCCGAGCAGCCCCCUCUCCCCGCCCCCAUCCCGGCCGAAUGCCGAGCCACUUCUGGCGGUGCGCGUGCCAAGCGCCUACGACGUGGGCGAGUGAGAGCGAGUCGUCGCUGCGGAUGUCGGCGGGCGGGUCCUGGACGGCGUGGCGCCGGGGCGAGCGGCGGCAGUGAACGCGUUUGUGGUUCUCAUCGGAUAGGCAAAAAGUGUCCGCGCGACUCGAGCGUAUGCCACACCCGGCCCUCGCACCGCCUGCUGGUGUGGGGCGCCUGAGAGCCACCCUACGGUGCGCGGGGUGGGUGGGCGGCGCUUGAGGGCACGGGCCCUCCUCGGGCGACCGGGUCGGCGCACUGCUGCAACGCGUGUCUACCGGUGCUUCGCACCACGCGGAUGCGGCCUGCGACAGGGUCGGGGGUGGAGCGGCGUUGGACCUCACGUUGUGCGGCAGAGAAAUGAGGCACGCUAAUGCGAAAGGAAGCGCAUGUCUUCCGUGUUUUUCCAGCUGCUUCUGAUGGGGCUGUGCUCGCGAGGGUCCAGCCAUGACGUACGUCAUGCGCAAGGCUCUUGGAAAGGCCCCAUGAAAGGCGCACAGACAUGCCCGCACAGCCAUCUGGCCACCAAUAACGCACCGCUGUGAUCACCACCACCACUCGUCUCCUGCCCUCACUUCUGUCCGCCACUCCACCCGCUCGUCCUCCUUUUAUUGGUGACCUUCUCGGCGUAGUCACGGCGCGAGUGGCAAGGAGAGAUGGGGCAGGCUUGUGCCGGCCAACGACAGACCGCAGGCACAUCCGCACCUUGUUUUGCCCGACCGUCCACGAUGCGUAUCAUCUCUUGUCCCAUGUGCACCAGCCCGCGGCUGCCGCUGCCCCUGUACACUCGCGCGAGGCACCGCUUCAUCGUGAAGCGCUCCUCUGCGGCUAGCCAAGGACGCGUGCGCAUGUGUGUGUGUGUGUGUGUGUGUUUGUGCUCCGCCCUCUGCCUUCUCUUUGGGGUUUUCUCCAUAUCUCUACGCAGUGGCCGCGGAGGGCCGCUGCAGCCGCAUGCGCCACCCCUUCCCAUCCUCGCUUAUCCGCACUCACCGUCUUUGUUGUUCGCUCUGUCUUCGUAGUCGCGGGCGGCCGUACUUGAU
rnacentral:misc_RNA from 1 species